ACGCAAUAGGUGUGUUACACUUUCUCAAUAAUUCCUUGUAUCGUUCCCAUGCUUCAUACAAUGUUUCAGACUCCAUCUGUCAAAAAUAAGAAAUAUCAUUUUUUAGCUU